rnacentral:rRNA from 1 species
CAGCAGCCGCGGGAAUACGUAGGGUGCAAGCGUUAAUCGGAAUUACUGGGCGUAAAGCGUGCGUAGGCGGUGAGUUAAGUCUGCUGUGAAAUCCCCGGGCUCAACCUGGGAAUGGCAGUGGAUACUGGCUCGCUAGAGUGUGUCAGAGGAUGGUGGAAUUCCCGGUGUAGCGGUGAAAUGCGUAGAGAUCGGGAGGAACAUCAGUGGCGAAGGCGGCCAUCUGGGACAACACUGACGCUGAGGCACGAAAGCGUGGGGAGCAAACAGGAUUAGAUACCCGCGUAGUCCCUGUCUCUUAUAC